rnacentral:rRNA from 1 species
UCCAGACUCCUACGGGAGGCAGCAGUGGGGGAUAUUGCACAAUGGGGGGAACCCUGAUGCAGCGACGCCGCGUGGGUGAAGGAGCGUUUCGGCGCGUAAAGCCCUAUCGGCAGGGAAGAAGGAGAACGGUACCUGACUAAGAAGCCCCGGCUAACUACGUGCCAGCAGCCGCGGUAAUACGUAGGGGGCAAGCGUUAUCCGGAUUUACUGGGUGUAAAGGGGGCGCAGACGGCAGCGCAAGCCAGGAGUGAAAGCCCGGGGCCCAACCCCGGGACUGCUCUUGGAACUGCGCGGCUGGAGUGCAGGAGGGGCAGGCGGAAUUCCUGGUGUAGCGGUGAAAUGCGUAGAUAUCAGGAGGAACACCGGUGGCGAAGGCGGCCUGCUGGACUGCGACUGACGUUGAGGCCCGAAAGCGUGGGGAGCAAACAGGAUUAGAUACCCCAGUAC